AGGGUUUGAUCCUGGCUCAGGAUGAACGCUAGCGGCAAGCCUAACACAUGCAAGUCGAACGGUAACUUUUGGUGCUUGCACCGAAAGACGAGUGGCGAACGGGUGCGUAACGCGUAUGCAAUCUGCCUUUUACUAGGGUAUAGCCCAGAGAAAUUUGGAUUAAUCCCCUAUAAUAUCAUUUAAUCGCAUGAUUUUAUGAUUAAAGCUUCGGCGGUAAAAGAUGAGCAUGCGUCCUAUUAGUUAGUAGGUGAGGUAACGGCUCACCUAGACUCCGAUAGGUAGGGGUCCUGAGAGGGAGAUCCCCCACACUGGUACUGAGACACGGACCAGACUCCUACGGGAGGCAGCAGUGAGGAAUAUUGGACAAUGGACGAAAGUCUGAUCCAGCUAUGCCGCGUGCAGGAUGACGGCCCUAUGGGUUGUAAACUGCUUUUAUACAGGAAGAAAAACUCCGACGUGUCGGAACUUGACGGUACUGUAAGAAUAAGGAUCGGCUAACUCCGUGCCAGCAGCCGCGGUAAUACGGAGGAUCCAAGCGUUAUCCGGAAUCAUUGGGUUUAAAGGGUCCGUAGGCGGUUUUUUAAGUCAGAGGUGAAAUCCUGCAGCUCAACUGUAGAAUUGCCUUUGAUACUGAAAGACUUGAGUUAUUGUGAAGUGGUUAGAAUGUGUGGUGUAGCGGUGAAAUGCAU
rnacentral:rRNA from 1 species